AUUGAACGCUGGCGGCAGGCCUAACACAUGCAAGUCGAGCGGAUGAGAAGAGCUUGCUCUUCGAUUCAGCGGCGGACGGGUGAGUAAUACCUAGGAAUCUGCCUGGUAGUGGGGGACAACGUUUCGAAAGGAACGCUAAUACCGCAUACGUCCUACGGGAGAAAGCAGGGGACCUUCGGGCCUUGCGCUAUCAGAUGAGCCUAGGUCGGAUUAGCUAGUUGGUGAGGUAAUGGCUCACCAAGGCUACGAUCCGUAACUGGUCUGAGAGGAUGAUCAGUCACACUGGAACUGAGACACGGUCCAGACUCCUACGGGAGGCAGCAGUGGGGAAUAUUGGACAAUGGGCGAAAGCCUGAUCCAGCCAUGCCGCGUGUGUGAAGAAGGUCUUCGGAUUGUAAGCACUUUAAGUGGGAGGAAGGGCAGUAAGCGAAUACCUUGCUGUUUUGACGUUACCGACAGAAUAAGCACCGGCUAACUCUGUGCCAGCAC
rnacentral:rRNA from 1 species